AGCGGCGGACGGGUGAGUAACGCGUGGGUAACCUGCCUCAUACAGGGGGAUAACAGUUGGAAACGGCUGCUAAUACCGCAUAAGCGCACAGUACCGCAUGGUAUGGUGUGAAAAACUCCGGUGGUAUGAGAUGGACCCGCGUCUGAUUAGGUAGUUGGUGGGGUAACGGCCUACCAAGCCGACGAUCAGUAGCCGACCUGAGAGGGUGACCGGCCACAUUGGGACUGAGACACGGCCCAA
rnacentral:rRNA from 1 species